rnacentral:rRNA from 1 species
AAACAUGUCCUAUUGUUUAUUUUUUAGGUCUAGCCUGCUCAGUGAAUUUUAAACAGCCGCAGUAUUUUAACUGUGCUAAGGUAGCAUAAUAAUUAGUCUUUUAAUUGAGGUCUGGAAUGAAUGGUCUAACGAGAAAAAUUCUUUAUUGGUAAUAUUAUUUUGAAUUUAUUUUUUCAGUUAAAAUUCUGAAAUUUUAAAGAGGGACGAUAAGACCCUAUAGAUCUUUACAAUUUUUUUCUUAAUUAUUUUUUUGUUGUUUUAUUUUUUAUGAAAAUGUUUGUUUUGCUGGGGUGGUAACUAAAAUUUUGAACUUUAGUUUUUUUUUACAUUUAUGUUUGUAUUUUUUGAUCUUUAUUUUUUUUUGAUUAUAAGAAUGAGAUACCUUAGGGAUAACAGCGUAAUAUAUUUGGAGAGUUCUUAUCGAUAUAUAUGUUUGCGACCUCGAUGUUGGAUUAAAGUUAAUUUAUGGGGUAGAUUUUAUAUGAUUAGGUCUGUUCGACCUUUAAAACU